AGAGUCAUACGUUGAAGGCUUAGCCAGCUACGGCGGCCCCGAGUCAUGCGUGCACAUUCGUGAGGGUGUUGGGCGAAGCGUUGACAGGGGUACGCGCGGGCCGGGUAUUGAGCCGCGUAAUACAUGCCCCGAGGCGAGAGCCACGGGUGGUCCGGGGUGCCGAGGCCGUGGAGACAUGCCGAAGGCCACACCGGGGCUGCCGCAUUGGCGAGGCAGCGCCGGACCCCGCGCGGUCAGAGACCC
rfam:Variovorax sp. HW608 genome assembly, chromosome: I